UCCUAGCCCGGAUGGCAGCGGCAUCCUUUUUUGUCGCCGCCUUUGCGGCAAAAAAGAUACAGCGGACAGCCGGAAUAGCU
rnacentral:sRNA from 1 species